CCUACGGGAGGCAGCAGUGGGGAAUAUUGCACAAUGGGGGAAACCCUGAUGCAGCGACGCCGCGUGAGUGAAGAAGUAAUUCGUUAUGUAAAGCUCUAUCAGCAGGGAAGAAAAUGACGGUACCUGAGUAAGAAGCCCCGGCUAACUACGUGCCAGCAGCCGCGGUAAUACGUAGGGGGCAAGCGUUAUCCGGAUUUACUGGGUGGAAAGGGAGCGUAGACGGCAGUGCAAGUCUGGAGGGAAAGGCGGGGGCUCAACCCCCGGACUGCUCUGGAAACUGUACGGCUGGAGUGCAGGAGAGGUAAGUGGAAUUCCUAGUGUAGCGGUGAAAUGCGUAGAUAUUAGGAGGAACACCAGUGGCGAAGGCGGCUUACUGGACUGUAACUGACGUUGAGGCUCGAAAGCGUGGGGAGCAAACAGGAUUAGAUACCCCAGUAGUC
rnacentral:rRNA from 1 species